GGGAAUAUUGCGCAAUGGAGGAAACUCUGACGCAGUGACGCCGCGUAUAGGAAGAAGGUUUUCGGAUUGUAAACUAUUGUCGUGAGGGAAGAAAUUGACAGUACCUCAGGAGGAAGCUCCGGCUAACUAUGUGCCAGCAGCCGCGGUAAUACGUAGGUGGCAAGCGUUAUCCGGAUUUACUGGGUGUAAAGGGCGUGUAGGCGGGACUGCAAGUCAGAUGUGAAAACCAUGGGCUCAACCCAUGGCCUGCAUUUGAAACUGUAGUUCUUGAGUGUUGGAGAGGCAGGCGGAAUUCCGUGUGUAGCGGUGAAAUGCGUAGAUAUACGGAGGAACACCAGUGGCGAAGGCGGCCUGCUGGACAAUAACUGACGCUGAGGCGCGAAAGCGUGGGGAGCAAACA
rnacentral:rRNA from 1 species